AUUGAACGCUGGCGGCAUGCCUUACACAUGCAAGUCGAACGGCAGCACGGGAGCAAUCCUGGUGGCGAGUGGCGAACGGGUGAGUAAAGUAUCGGAACGUGCCCAGUCGUGGGGGAUAACGCAGCGAAAGCUGUGCUAAUACCGCAUACGAUCUAAGGAUGAAAGCGGGGGAUCGCAAGAACUCGCGCGAUUGGAGCGGCCGAUAUCAGAUUAGCUAGUUGGUGGGGUAAAGGCCCACCAAGGCGACGAUCUGUAGCUGGUCUGAGAGGACGACCAGCCACACUGGGACUGAGACACGGCCCAGACUCCUACGGGAGGCAGCGGUGGGGAAUAUUGGACAAUGGGCGAAAGCCUGAUCCAGCAAUGCCGCGUGCAGGAAGAAGGCCUUCGGGUUGUAAACUGCUUUUGUACGGAGCGAAAAGGUCUCCUCUAAUACGGGGGGCUCAUGACGGUACCGUAAGAAUAAGCACCGGCUAACUACGUGCCAGCCGCCGCCGUAA
rnacentral:rRNA from 1 species